rnacentral:rRNA from 1 species
UUGACCUCGGAUCAGUAGGGAUACCCGCUGAACWU